UUCCGGUUGAUCCUGCCAGAGGUUACUGCUAUCGGUGUUCGCCUAAGCCAUGCGAGUCAUAUGUAGCAAUACAUGGCGUACUGCUCAGUAACACGUGGAUAACCUGCCCUUGGGACCGGCAUAACCCCGGGAAACUGGGGAUAAUUCCGGAUAACGCAUAUUUGCUGGAAUGCUUUAUGCGUCAAAAGGAUUCGUCUGCCCAAGGAUGGGUCUGCGGCCUAUCAGGUAGUAGUGGGUGUAAUGUACCUACUAGCCAGCGACGGGUACGGGUUGUGAGAGCAAGAGCCCGGAGAUGGAUUCUGAGACAUGAAUCCAGGCCCUACGGGGCGCAGCAGGCGCGAAAACUUUACAAUGCGGGAAACCGUGAUAAGGGGACACCGAGUGCCAGCAUCAUAUGCUGGCUGUCCGGAUGUGUAAAAUACAUCCGUUAGCAAGGGCCGGGCAAGACCGGUGCCAGCCGCCGCGGUAACACCGGCGGCCCGAGUGGUGAUCGUGAUUAUUGGGUCUAAAGGGUCCGUAGCCGGUUUGGUCAGUCCUCCGGGAAAUCUGAUAGCUCAACUAUUAGGCUUUCGGGGGAUACUGCCAGACUUGGAACCGGGAGAGGUAAGAGGUACUACAGGGGUAGGAGUGAAAUCUUGUAAUCCCUGUGGGACCACCUGUGGCGAAGGCGUCUUACCAGAACGGGUUCGACGGUGAGGGACGAAAGCUGGGGGCACGAACCGGAUUAGAUACCCGGGUAGUCCCAGCCGUAAACGAUGCUCGCUAGGUGUCAGGCAUGGCGCGACCGUGUCUGGUGCCGCAGGGAAGCCGUGAAGCGAGCCACCUGGGAAGUACGGCCGCAAGGCUGAAACUUAAAGGAAUUGGCGGGGGAGCACAACAACGGGUGGAGCCUGCGGUUUAAUUGGAUUCAACGCCGGG
rnacentral:rRNA from 1 species